UACGGAGGGUGCGAGCGUUGUCCGGAAUCAUUGGGCGUAAAGGGCGCGUAGGUGGCGGGACAAGCGUGCGGUGAAAGCUCGGGGCUCAACCCCGAGUCGGCCGUGCGAACUGUUUUUGCUUGAGCACUGUAGAGGCAGGCGGAAUUCCGGGUGUAGCGGUGGAAUGCGUAGAGAUCCGGAAGAACACCCGUGGCGAAGGCGGCCCACUGGGCCGGUGCUGACGCUGAGGCGCGAAGGCGUGGGGAGCGAACGGG
rnacentral:rRNA from 1 species